rnacentral:tRNA from 1 species
ACUUUCAAAGGACAGAAG